CGACCGGCGCACGGGUGAGUAACACGUAUGGAACCUGCCCGCAGCAGGGGGAUAAGCGGAAGAAAUUCCGUCUAAUACCGCGUAACAACGUUGGGAGGCAUCUCCCGAUGUUUAAAGAUUUAUCGGCUGCGGAUGGCCAUGCGGCGCAUUAGCUAGUCGGCGGGGUAACGGCCCACCGAGGCGACGAUGCGUAGGGGUUCUGAGAGGAAGGUCCCCCACACUGGUACUGAGACACGGACCAGACUCCUACGGAAGGCAGCAG
rnacentral:rRNA from 1 species